GACAGAGGUGCCAAGCGUUAGGCGGAAUCACUGGGCUUAAAGCGUGUGUAGGCGGACUUGUAAGUACCUUGUGAAAUCCCACGGCUCAACCGUGGAACUGCUUGGUAUACUGCUUGUCUUGAGCCACUUAGGGCUACCGGAACAAAUGGUGGAGCGGUGAAAUGCGUAGAUAUCAUUUGGAACGCCAAUGGUGAAAACAGGUAGCUGGGAGUGUGCUGACGCUGAGACACGAAAGCCAGGGGGCGAACGGG
rnacentral:rRNA from 1 species